GAUGAAGGCUCACCAGUAGAAGACGCAGAUAAAGACAAAGAUGAAGAUACAGAUGAAGAUGAGGAUGAAGAUGAGGAUGAAGAUGAGGAUGAAGACGAGGAUGAAGAUGAGGAUGAAGAUGAGGAUGAAGAUGAAGAUGAAGAUGAAGAUGAAGAUGAAGAUGAGGAUGAAGAUGAAGAUGAAGAUGAGGAUGAAGAUGAGGAUGAAGAGGAGGAUGAAGAUGAGGAUGAAGGUGACGAAGGCUCACCAGUAGAAGACGCAGACACAGACAAAGAUGAAGAUGAGGAUGAAGAUGAGGAUGAAGAUGAGGACGAAGGUGAUGAAGGCUCACCAGUAGAAGAUGCAGAUAAAGACAAAGACAAAGAUAAAGAUGAAGAUGAGGAUGAAGAUGAGGAUGAAGAUGAGGAUGAAGGUGACGAAGGCUCACCAGUAGAAGACGCAGGCCAGCUCCAUCCAGCUGAGGGCGCUCCGGUCCUGCCGCAGCCACCGCAGCCCCUCCUGGGCGAAG
rnacentral:lncRNA from 1 species